UGGACCUCAGAUCAGGCAAGAUUACCCGCUGAGUUUAAGCAUAUCACUAAGCGGAGGAAAAGA
rnacentral:rRNA from 4 species